ensembl:snRNA U6 U6 spliceosomal RNA
GUGCUUGCUUCCUGAGCACAUAUACUACAAUUGCAACAGUACAGAGAAGAUUAGCAUUGCCCCUGCACAAGGAUGACACACAAAUACAAUAGCAUGAAAAGAAUAAA